UACGAGGGGUGCAAGCGUUGCCCGGAAUCAUUGGGCGUAAAGGGCAGGUAGGUGGUCUCAUUUGUCUGGGGUGAAAGCCCAGGGCUCAACCCUGGAAGUGCCCCAGAAACGGUGAGACUUGAGUACUGGAGAGGUCGGUGGAAUUCCCGGUGUAGCGGUGAAAUGCGUAGAGAUCGGGAGGAACACCAGAGGCGAAGGCGGCCGACUGGACAGUAACUGACACUCAACUGCGAAAGCGUGGGGAGCAAACAGG
rnacentral:rRNA from 1 species